rnacentral:rRNA from 1 species
UACGAGGGGGGCGAGCGUUGUUCGGAAUUAUUGGGCGUAAAGGGUGCGUAGGCGGUUCCGCAAGUCCUGUGUGAAAUCUUCGGGCUCAACUCGAAGUCUGCACGGGAAACUGCGGGGCUUGAGUGUGGGAGAGGUGAGUGGAAUUCCGGGUGUAGCGGUGGAAUGCGUAGAGAUCCGGAAGAACACCGGUGGCGAAGGCGGUCUGCUGGGCCAAGACUGACGCUGAGGCGCGACAGCGUGGGGAGCAAACAGG